ensembl:lncRNA
CACUGUGGGCGUGGGCUUAAGACCCUCAUCCUAGCUGCCUGGAAACCAGUAUUCUGCUAGCAGCCUUCAGAUGAAGAUGUAGAACUCUCAGCUCCUCCUGCACCAUGCCUGCCUGGAUGCUGCCAUGUUCCCACCUUGAUGAUAAUGGACUGAACCUCUGAACCUAUAAGGGAGAAAAGAAGACACUAUGUCCACAGAGGCAGAGACUGAGCAGUAUGACCACACAUCAAAGACCCCACCAAUCUUCAAAGCUGAAACAUGCCAAGAAUGGCUCACUGAAGUCCCUGGAGGGGUCAAUUCUGUGUCAAUGCCUAACUCCAGUCUUGGCCAUGUUUAUAGACUUCUUACCUCCAGCGUGAGAGAAGAAAGAAGUCUGCCACACGACUCCAGAUGUGACCAGCUGUCUCCUUCUGCCACCACACUACUCUUACUACGAUGGGCUAUAUGCCUUUGAACUGUAAGUCGGUAACGAAUCUUUCCUGCCUUAAGUUGGUAGUGUCAGAGAUAUUUGGUCACAGCAGUUGGAGAAGUAAUUAAUCCAUCUACCAAAUAUACUUAUUCUAGUCAUAUAUUAAGAGAUUUUGGAAAUGUUCUGAAGGUGGGUCUGUAGAUUUUAUGAACCACCUUGAACAGUGGUCCUAGUCUUCCAUUUUCUACCUGGCUCUCAUAUGUACCAAUUGUGAUGGCUAAUCUCAGUUGUCAACUUGACUGUAUCUGGAAUGAAUUCCAGAAAUAGAGGGCAUACCUGUGAUCCAGAUCUUGAGACUGGAAGACACGAGUUUUUUGAUCUGGAUCUCGUAGCAUAGUGGACAGGAAAAGCAAGGUGAUACAGGCCUUUAAUCCCAGUAGACAGAAGCAACCAGAUCUUUGAGUACAAGGCCAGCCUGGAACAUAGCAAGCUCCAAGUAAAGAACAGCUUAGGUUUAAGUGUGGUGGUACACACCUUUAAUCUGGGCCAUACCUUCUGAUGGAGUGCUACAUACAAACACAGGAAGAAGGAAGGCUUUUUUUCCAGCUUAUACAGAAGACCAGCUGAAGCACCUAGCCUUGUGUGGCACUGAGCAACUACCGGAUUCUUGGACUUCCUAUUCACAACUGCACAUUGUUGGGUGAGUUGUAUUGGAGACUGUAAGUCAUUCCAAUAAAUUCCCUUAAUAUAUAGAGACAUUCCAUGACUCUAGAGAACACUAAUACACCUAUCUACAUAGACUACAUGCAUACCACCUUAGUUCCAUGCCUAGAGGAUGUAAAAACAUGUUUCGAUCUUCCUCCAACACGGUUUCAAAAGGAAAUGGAUGUUGCUCAGUAUGGUCUCUUCUGUCCAUCCAUCUGCUGUGCCUUUGCAGGGUGAGGUACUUGCUAUGCAUUACUGUGACCAAAAUACAA